rnacentral:rRNA from 1 species
AUUGAACGCUGGCGGCAGGCCUAACACAUGCAAGUCGAGCGGCAGCGGGAAGUAGCUUGCUACUUUGCCGGCGAGCGGCGGACGGGUGAGUAAUGUCUGGGAAGCUGCCCGAUGGAGGGGGAUAACUACUGGAAACGGUAGCUAAUACCGCAUAACGUCGCAAGACCAAAGAGGGGGACCUUCGGGCCUCUUGCCAUCGGAUGUGCCCAGAUGGGAUUAGCUAGUAGGUGGGGUAACGGCUCACCUAGGCGACGAUCCCUAGCUGGUCUGAGAGGAUGACCAGCCACACUGGAACUGAGACACGGUCCAGACUCCUACGGGAGGCAGCAGCGGGGAAUAUUGCACAAUGGGCGCAAGCCUGAUGCAGCCAUGCCGCGUGUAUGAAGAAGGCCUUCGGGUUGUAAAGUACUUUCAGCGGGGAGGAAGGUGUCGAGGUUAAUAACCUCAGCAAUUGACGUUACCCGCAGAAGAAGCACCGGCUAACUCCGUGCCAGCCGCCGCCGUAA